rnacentral:rRNA from 1 species
UACGUAGGGCGCAAGCGUUGUCCGGAAUUAUUGGGCGUAAAGCGCUCGUAGGCUGCUUGUCACAUCGGGUGUGAAAGCCCGGGGCUUAACCCCGGGUCUGCAUUCGAUACGGGCUAGCUAGAGUGUGGUAGGGGAGAUCGGAAUUCCUGGUGUAGCGGUGAAAUGCGCAGAUAUCAGGAGGAACACCGGUGGCGAAGGCGGAUCUCUGGGCCAUUACUGACGCUGAGGAGCGAAAGCGUGGGGAGCGAACAGG